UUGCAACUGACAUCGAGCAGGCAGGCCUAACAUCAUGUCAAGUCAGCACGUCGCGUUAGAGCAGUAAGACUCUCGCGUGUCUCUUGAGAGCGGCGGACGGGUGAGUAAUGCCUAGGAAUCUGCCUGGUAGUGGGGGAUAACUGUUCGGAAACGGACGCUAAUACCGCAUACGUCCUACGGGAGAAAGCAGGGGACCUUCGGGCCUUGCGCUAUCAGAUGAGCCUAGGUCGGAUUAGCUAGUUGGUGAGGUAAUGGCUCACCAAGGCGACGAUCCGUAACUGGUCUGAGAGGAUGAUCAGUCACACUGGAACUGAGACACGGUCCAGACUCCUACGGGAGGCAAGCAAGUGGGGAAUAUUGGACAAUGGGCGAAAGCCUGAUCCAGCCAUGCCGUCGUGUG
rnacentral:rRNA from 1 species